CAGAAAGGGUCAACCGAAGGCCUCGGAGAAGUCCAUUUUUUUCCAGAAAAUAUCUUCAACUUGCGGUACUAUCCCUAUUAUGGGAAACUGAGACAUGUCAACUACUCUUCCCCGCUGGUGGCUGUGCGCUUUCCUAGUGUCCAGUAUGACACCCAACUUCACGUUCAAUGCAAACUAAAUGGCAAAGGCAUCAUCAACGAUUCACCAACUGAUCGUUUCCUGGGUAGUGUGUCUUUCACUUUAGUAGUGGGUGCGUAGGGUGGCAGUAGACCUAGAGAAAUUGAAAUUAAACUUCUCAGAGUAUGUUAUAAUAAAUGAAAUAGCACACUGGGUGUUGUCGUUACCCAUUAGCCCUCAUGAUUAUGCCUCCGGCAGCCACUGUGCUAUUCGUGUCAGAGCUGUGUUACUACACUACUUUUUCAAACAAGGAAUUUCCCAGUAAGACUCAAAAGACUGAGAUUCAUAGAUCACAUUCAGUACCCAGCCGCUAGAGACUGACCUGCCUGGAUUUCAUUAUAGGAUCAAAUGAAAAUAUGAAAAGAUGUCCAAAUACAGUAAGUAGGUUGCAAUUAUAGCUAUUGAGGCAUAAUCACUCUACAGUGAGACGUAGGCAAAACAAUUCUCUAGAUCUGUGUAGACUGUAGAAUUAACAUCUAUUAAACCUUUUUGAUCAGUUCUUUUGCUAAGUCAGAUGUGUAUAUAACACAAAUUAAAACACACAAAAUAUUUUUUUAUGAUUCUUCUCUGUUAAUCAGUCUCCUUUAAAUUCCCCCUUUGGACGAAGAAAAAGGCCGGAAACUGCUUAACAUUAUCCUUUUGCUUGCUCAUUUAAUUGAAUAAUAAUCAGAUGUGGUUUAGAAUUAAUAAUUGAUUGUACAUUUUUGGACUAAAUUUCUCUUUCCUUUUUUUUUUUUUUUGGAUGUGCAACUAAAUUUUGAUUCCAGAGGCAAAUGUAUUUUACUGAAAUGUGGGACAGAAAUCCCAUUUCAUCAUUUUCACAGAGUUUCAUAAUGAAGUACUAGUUGAUCUUUCUUUUUCUAAGCAUGCAACCAACACUUCUUUAAAACGAAAUCGAGUAUGUCACAUAAUUCAUCUCUGAGUGAAACUAUCUGCUCAGCUGCCUGUAAGGAGGAUUUCAACAGUAUUAUUUAUUAAUUGUAUUUGAAUAUAUUGACAUGGUACAAAGAGUUACAAAGUGUAAUAGUGAGAUGGAAAUUGGUAACUGCACAUCUUUGUUAUUCAGUAAAUGCAACGAAAUAGCCACUGGCUGACAAAGAUUUGCCAGCUUAUGUGUUAAACGCACUCAUGUUCUAGCAUAAACAAUAAAGAUGGAUGAGAAUUAACAGAAUCAGACCUUUCUGCUCAGUUUUCCAUUCUGUUUAAAAGUAACAAAUCAGUUGUGAAAUGCGUCAUAUUGUCUCUAAUGAUAAAUUGCUUGAGAUGGUCACUUAGAAUAAAUGACAAUGUAAAAAAAACAUCACUACAUUCAAACUUCAAUGCAGUUAUGUGCAUUCAGUAAUAGGCAUAAGUAUUAUGCAGGUCAAAGUGAGAUGCUUCUAGUGUUCCAGUAACAGAGACAUAAUUUAUGACAACAGUAACUUUUAUAGCAACACUGCUGAUCUAAGUCCAUCAGUUAUAACUGUGAAAUCAUGUGAACUGUGUAAAACUAGUUGCUUAACACCUCAGGUCUAACGUGAAAUCAACAUUGUACUGAGAUUCUCAAAAAGAGGUCAGAGCAAGAAAACAAAGAGAGAGGAAGACUACUGUACAAUACAAAAAAAAAACAUUUUAUUGAAUUUUUUUCCUUUUUGAACCAACAUUCAAAGACAUCUUACUAAAAGGCACACUAUAGUACAACAAUGAUAUUCUGUGUUUAACUGUGUUUGUUUUAACAGCUAAAUCCUUUGGGGGUUUUUAUGAAAAAUAAAAUGGUUGACAAAUGAACUGAUUUGGACACAUUAGUAUUUUCACUAUGCAGAGCAGAAAAUAAGACUGAAAAUACACAGGAACUUGUAGCUUUGGUCUUAGAAAUGGUGUAUUUUGUACAUUGUAUGCAUGUGUCCAGAGAAAUGACAAAC